GAUUUGGAGGAAUACCAAUGGCGAAGGCAGCCCCUGGGAUAACACUGACGCUCAUGCACGAAAGCGUGGGGAGCAAACAGGAUUAGAUACCUGGUAGUCCACGCCCUAAACGAUGUCUACUAGUUGUUGGUGGAGUAAAAUCCAUGAGUAACGCAGCUAACGCGUGAAGUAGACCGCCUGGGGAGUACGGUCGCAAGAUUAAAACUCAAAUGAAUUGACGGGGGCCCGCACAAGCGGUGGAUUAUGUGGAUUAAUUCGAUGCAACGCGAAAAACCUUACCUGGCCUUGACAUGUACCGAAUUUAGCAGAGAUGCUUUAGUGCUCGAAAGAGAACGGUAACACAGGUGCUGCAUGGCUGUCGUCAGCUCGUGUCGUGAGAUGUUGGGUUAAGUCCCGCAACGAGCGCAACCCUUGCCAUUAAUUGCCAUCAUUUAGUUGGGCACUUUAAUGGGACUGCCGGUGACAAACCGGAGGAAGGUGGGGAUGACGUCAAGUCCUCAUGGCCCUUAUGGCCAGGGCUUCACACGUAAUACAAUGGUCGGUACAGAGGGAAGCCAACCCGCGAGGGGGAGCCAAUCUCAGAAAGCCGGUCGUAGUCCGGAUUGUUGUCUGCAACUCGACAGCAUGAAGUCGGAAUCGCUAGUAAUCGCGGAUCAGCAUGUCGCGGUGAAUACGUUCCCGGGCCUUGUACACACCGCCCGUCACACCAUGGGAGUGGGUUUUACCAGAAGUAGUUAGUCUAUCCGCAAGGGGGUCGAUUACCACGGUAGGAUUCAUGACUGGGGUGAAGUCGUAACAAGGUAACCGUA
rnacentral:rRNA from 1 species